rnacentral:rRNA from 1 species
AUUGAACGCUGGCGGCAUGCUUUACACAUGCAAGUCGAACGGUAGAGGGGGCAACCCCUUGAGAGUGGCGAACGGGUGAGUAAUGUAUCGGAACGUGCCCAGUCGUGGGGGAUAACGUAGUGAAAAUUACGCUAAUACCGCAUACGAUCUAUGGAUGAAAGCAGGGGAUCGCAAGACCUUGCGUUAUACGAGCGGCCGAUGUCAGAUUAGCUAGUUGGUGAGGUAAAGGCCCACCAAGGCGACGAUCUGUAGCUGGUCUGAGAGGACGACCAGCCACACUGGGACUGAGACACGGCCCAGACUCCUACGGGAGGCAGCAGUGGGGAAUUUUGGACAAUGGGCGCAAGCCUGAUCCAGCAAUGCCGCGUGCAGGAAGAAGGCCUCGGUUGUAACGUAGCUUUGUUACGGUAACGGAAAA